rnacentral:rRNA from 1 species
UACGUAGGGUGCAAGCGUUAAUCGGAAUUACUGGGCGUAAAGCGUGCGCAGGCGGUUAUGUAAGACAGAUGUGAAAUGCCCGGGCUUAACCUGGGAACUGCAUUUGUGACUGCAUGGCUAGAGUUUGGCAGAGGGGGGGUAGAAUUCCACGUGUAGCAGUGAAAUGCGUAGAUAUGUGGAGGAACACCGAUGGCGAAGGCAGCCCCCUGGGUCAAGACUGACGCUCAUGCACGAAAGCGUGGGGGAGCAAACAGG